GAUGAACGCUGGCGGCGUGCCUAAUACAUGCAAGUCGAGCGAACAGACGAGGAGCUUGCUCCUCUGACGUUAGCGGCGGACGGGUGAGUAACACGUGGAUAACCUACCUAUAAGACUGGGAUCACUUCGGGAAACCGGAGCUAAUACCGGAUAAUAUAUUGAACCGCAUGGUUCAAUAGUGAAAGACGGUUUUGCUGUCACUUAUAGAUGGAUCCGCGCCGCAUUAGCUAGUUGGUAAGGUAACGGCUUACCAAGGCAACGAUGCGUAGCCGACCUGAGAGGGUGAUCGGCCACACUGGAACUGAGACACGGUCCAGACUCCUACGGGAGGCAGCAGUAGGGAAUCUUCGGCAAUGGGCGAAAGCCUGACGGAGCAACGCCGCGUGAGUGAUGAAGGUCUUCGGGUCGUAAAACUCUGUUAUUAGGGAAGAACAAAUGUGUAAGUAAAUAUGCACGUCUUGACGGUACCUAAUCAGAAAGCCACGGCUAACUACGUG
rnacentral:rRNA from 1 species